rnacentral:rRNA from 1 species
GUGUCAGCCGCCGCGGUAAUACGGAGGAGGCAAGCGUUAUCCGGAAUUAUUGGGCGUAAAGCGUCCGCAGGUGGCUUAUCAAGUCUGCUGUCAAAGAGUGGGGCUUAACCCCAUUAAGGCAGUGGAAACUGAGAAGCUAGAGUGCCGUAGGGGUAGAGGGAAUUCCCGGUGUAGCGGUGAAAUGCGUAGAGAUCGGGAAGAACAUCGGUGGCGAAAGCGCUCUACUGGACGGCAACUGACACUCAGGGACGAAAGCUAGGGGAGCGAAUGGGAUUAGAUACCCUCGUAGUCC